CAAAAGAAAUUCCAAAGAUCACACAGAUCCAUUGCAGAGGAACGUGUUGGCAAGAAAUGUGGUGGCCUUCGUGUGCUGAACUCCUACUGGGUAGCACAGGAUUCCUCCUACAAGUUCUACGAGAUCAUUAUGGUUGAUAUUUUCCACAAGGCUGUACGUCGUGACCCCAAGCUUCAAUGGAUCUGUAACCCAGUACACAAGCACAGGGAGCUGCGUGGUCUCACCUCUGCUGGCAAGAUGUCUCGCGGUCUGGGCAAGGGACACAGAUAUACCAAGACAAUUGGAGGCUCGCGUCGUGCUGCAUGGAAGAGGAACAAUUUGACCAAAAUGCGCAGAAAGCGUUAAUUUUUUUCAGUUCUUUUUUCCUUUUCCAUUUUUUCCUUCUCCAAGUUUCUUGGAGGAAGCAAAUCUCUGUGUGAGUUUUAUUGUCUGCGGACUACGGAAUAAACAUGGGGAAUC
rnacentral:misc_RNA from 1 species